UUGGCUGGAAAAAAUAGGGUUCUUCCUGCGGGCAUCGACAGUGGACUCCCCGGACAGAUAGCUGGGUAUCGACGCGUACUCUGACGUGAUCAAAUCAAAUCAUCUGCAUCAGUGUCCAUGGAGAUAUGCCCCACCCACUCUGUGAGUCUUCACCUACGUACUGGAGAGUGCAUAGCAGAUACUAACAUACUUGUGUUGUGUGCUUAGAUCUUUAAUACGGGCUGUCUAUAUACUAAAUAGAAUAUAAUUAUGCUUUCAAUUCCUGCGUACAUUGGUGUGUCACGGUAUUGAUGUUAAGAGCUUCGUAUGUCUCUUGUCAUUGAUGUACUAUUCUGGGAAUCCCUCUACUAUGAUCAAACAACAUGAUAAUCAUCGACAUGUGCUCUUAAUAUUAUUGCUCUUGUACAUACUUUGUCCAGCUUCUACUACUAAUCUAUUUCAGUGUGAGGCUAUUGACUUACUUUAUGCCUCUAUGUGUAACGUUGAGCGCUAUGUUAACACUCUCCCAGGUUCAGAAAUGUUGUGUUGAUCACGUCACAGUUGUUCCGCCAAGAUUCCGGAAGUACUAUAUAAGUACACAAAUUUAUUUGCAACGGAAGUUCAACUUCCGCUAUCAAAAUGAAGCUAAUACUACAAGUAAUUAAAUAUUCACACACUUAUAUUCUACAAAGUAUUGUACAUACACUCACGAACGAGCUCAGGCACGUAGAACUGUUCCUAGUCUACAUGCAUACACGAGAAUAGUUGUUAAGCUUUUAUAAGUUUGGCUCCACGAGCUCAAAUAGCACUCUAUGUCAUAUGAUAGUACUCCUCUAGAACAAGUGACAAAAAAUUUUGCUAACAAAGUGAAGCUACGUGAUGGGUAUCAACAAAAUUUGUAAGCUUUGAGCAUUACUUUGCAAAAACAUUUUGCUUGUACCCAGCUUUGAAGCAAAAAUUAUGAGCUUGCAAACUUGACCACAAUUUCCAUGUCAAACCACAUGGAGUCCCACAAGAUGGAGUGCACCACACGUACACAGACUAUGGACACAUCAUAGACAUUCCAGGUUUGUUGUGUCACACAAUAAUGAUAUAAAAAAUUAAUACAAACAUUUGUAAAAUAGUGUCUAGCUAGUAAGCGAAAAACUAGAAGGCAGCUUUCUUUUGGGGAAGUCAGUGACAGUGUUGCAGACAACGGAGUAUGUGAGUUGUGCCAUGGCGUCAGUGGGAAUAUGAGUAGUCCAAGCAACUGGCGAAGUGAGCCAGCACGUACCCUUGCAGCCUCCUUGAAGAUUGAUUUCACUCGUCAGGUUUGUCCUAAAUGUAGAAAAGAUAUAACACGCUGUUUAGGGGAUGAUACAUACGCACCACAAUGGGACAAACCUAACAAAAAAGCAUAUGUAGUGUAUUGGAAUGUUACAGAUGCUAUACUAGCGUCACUCGGUAAACCCAAAGAUCUCAUAGAAGAUGCACUUCGACGCGCUAAAGUGGAUGUGACUACAUAUCCUUUUUUAGCAAAAUAGGAAAAACAACAUUUUUACGAUAUUUUUACCAGAACACUAAGUUUAUAUCUUCAGGAUUGGAAAGCUCGACCCCAGGCACCCUAGCAAAUGUAAGACUUUCAAAUCAAGAGUACGAAUUGGGUUUUUUAGCAUUUGUACGUCUGGUGGGAACAGCUUACUUUAAACAACAUGCAACAGGAUUUGACACUAACUCACCAGCUACAUAUUACCAUUCAUUGUCUGAACAAAAUUUAACAGUUAAAGAACAACACUCUAUUUGGCUAGACAAUAUAAGGCAAAAUAUUUGGGACAGGGUCAAAUUUGAAAACGAGAUGAUACCAUCUGAUGAUGCACUUUUGCUUCAUUGGAAGCGAUCGUGUUGGGUUCUACACAUGUGGCAACAAUCUGAUCAACCCAUUAUGACAUUAGAGCCAUUAGAAAACUACGGUUGGAGUAUCACAGACAAUGAGCUCACCAUUAAAUGGGAUACUGCCACCAACGUACAGGCUGUCCGUGAUCGAGUCAACUCACUCCUUAAAGGAUGCAAGUGUUCGACAGGUUGUUUGACUGGACGGUGUGGCUGCAAGAAAAGGGGGAAGCAUUGUUCAAUUGGCUGUGAGUGUUUAAAUUGUGGUAAUAACAUAGCAGGGUCAAAACAGAACGAAACUCACAUUAUAUUUCUGGAAGAAGAUGUGGAGGCAGGCAGAUUGACAGACAGAGAAGGGGAAGACAUCGUCGACUGGGUGUUCGGACAAAAUACAGGGAGUGACAGUCAAACCAGUCAGUCCGAAUCAGAGCCUGAGUUAGACUAAGAUUAAAUUGUUAUGUUUAAGAUAUUGUUUGUUAUGCUUAAAAUAUUGUUUAUAUUUUUACUUGUACUCAAAUUGUGUGUGGCUUUACUAGGCAUGCUAAAACAAGUGACAAAAAAUUUUGGUAACAACGAAUCUGUUCCUUACUUAGCAUACACUGUAGCUAAAGGCUUGUACAACAGCUACCAGCUAAAACUGACUUGUACUCGCUCACCGUUAUUCCAUAAGCGCCGUCUCAGUAAAAAUUCCAGGGGGGCUGGUGGUAGCUUUUUGUAACAAAAACAGUGCAACCUCUUUCAAAAAUAAGAGGCAUGGCAUUAUUUAAGGCUUGGUGGUUGCUACAACACCUAUGCAGCCAGUAUCAGACUUUAUAGCUUGAGUUAUAGUACUGUAUCUUCAGCUAUUGCCACUAACCUACAACACUAUCAAGCGGAGCUUCUUUGUGAUUUUUGUUGCUGUUGAUGACGUCACGGUUGCAAAUAUAUUCACGUGAGCUGUCAGAUGGCGGAGCAACUGGUCAGUGGAUGUGAGCAAGUUUGAGGUGUCUGGUCGUUUCCUGGGCAGGCAGAUAGAGAAUGUGGAGCUGGUCUUCCAGGACCUCCUUCAGCUGCAAUACGAGGGUCUGGCAAUCAUGAAGAUGUUUAGAAGAUGUUUGGGAGGGCUAAAGUGAACGUUAAUUUGCUCAUCUUCCUCAUAAUUAUAUGAACAAAAGGCAUCAGAACAUUAAAUUUGAUUUUCACUAGCAAAUUGCUUGCAUUGACAAUUUACUGUGCAUGUGAGCAUUUAUCCAAUUCAAGGAGAAGCCCUUGUUAUGCCUCGAGGCGUAGCCGCACGAGGGAUACCGUAAAGCUGACUGUGCGUGUGUGUCUAUUAUUACCGCACGAGGGAUACAGUAAAGCUGACUGUGUGUGUGUGUGUGUGUGUGUGUGUGUCUAUCAUUACCAAGGAGAAGAAAAAAAUUACUGCCUUGUGUCAGGUAUAUAGUGUUGUGCUUGUACGGUGUAUGUAAGUACAUGUAUUCAUUUGUCUUACACCAGUUGAAGUGUUUCACUGCCCUCUCUUCUCCCCACACAGGACCUCCUUCAGCUGCAAUACGAGGGCCUGGCAAUCAUGAAGAUGUUUAGAAGAUGUUUGGGAGGGCUAAAGUGAACGUUAAUUUGCUCAUCUUCCUCAUAAUUAUAUGAACAAAAGGCAUCAGAGCGUUAAAUUGGAUUUUCACUAGCAAAUUGCUUUGUGUUCAUUGACAAUUUACUGUGCAUGUGAGCAUUUAUCAUUAUUACCAAGGAGAAGCCCUUGUUAUGCCUCGAGGCGUAGCCGCACGAGGGAUACGGUAAAGCUGACUGUGUGCGCGUGCGUGUGUCUGUGUGUCUGUUAUUGUUACCAAGGAGAAGCCUUUGUUAUUGCUGUGCUAUUGACAAGUUGUAAUUAAUUAACAACAUUAAUUUUGUUUUUAUAGUGUCUAACAUAAUUAUAUGUACUAGUAUAUAAUACUUCACUACUUUUCUCUAUGCAUUUAAAUUGUCAUUGAAUGCAUUAUGGCAGAAUUAAUUAAAAUCAAUUGUCAAAACUGUAUGAACUAGUGUUCAAGCUGGCGCUGUGCUAAUGCCUCUCGCCAUGUUUUUGCUUUCGCUGAAAAGUAUUAGAGUGUUAUAUUAGUUUCUAUAAUGAAUUUUAUAUUAAAGUUAGCUUAUCUAUAUAAAGUCACUGAGAAGAAAAGACUUAUUUACAUGCAUCUGUUGUUGUAUUAUGUGGCUUACUAGGACCUCAAGAAAGAAGAAAAUUGAUUCUUCCAAGAUCUGUAGUUCAGUGUAUAUAAUAUCUAAGAAGAAAAGACCUGUGUACAUGCAUAUUGUUAUCUAUAUUGUUAUAAUUAUGGUAGUGUUUUGUGGCUUACCAGGCCUUCAAGA